AUUGAACGCUGGCGGCAUGCUUUACACAUGCAAGUCGAACGGUAACAGGCCUUCGGGCGCUGACGAGUGGCGAACGGGUGAGUAAUGCAUCGGAACGUGCCCAGUCGUGGGGGAUAACGCAGCGAAAGCUGUGCUAAUACCGCAUACGACCUGCGGAUGAAAGCGUGGGACAUUCGGGCCUCGCGCGAUUGGAGCGGCCGGUGUCGGAUUAGGUAGUUGGUGGGGUAAAGGCCCACCAAGCCGACGAUCUGUAGCUGGUCUGAGAGGACGACCAGCCACACUGGGACUGAGACACGGCCCAGACUCCUACGGGAGGCAGCAGUGGGGAAUUUUGGACAAUGGGCGCAAGCCUGAUCCAGCAAUGCCGCGUGCAGGAAGAAGGCCUUCGGGUUGUAAACUGCUUUUGUACGGAGCGAAAAGGCUCCCUCUAAUACAGGGGGCUCAUGACGGUACCGUAAGAAUAAGCACCGGCUAACUACGUGCCAGCAGCCGCCGCCG
rnacentral:rRNA from 1 species